AUUGAACGCUGGCGGCAUGCCUUACACAUGCAAGUCGAACGGUAACAGGUCUUCGGAUGCUGACGAGUGGCGAACGGGUGAGUAAUACAUCGGAACGUGCCCAGACGUGGGGGAUAACGAGGCGAAAGCUUUGCUAAUACCGCAUACGAUCUAAGGAUGAAAGCAGGGGACCGCAAGGCCUUGCGCGUUUGUAGCGGCCGAUGGCAGAUUAGGUAGUUGGUGGGGUAAAAGUUUAUCAAGCCGACGAUGUGUAGCUGGUCUGAGAGGAUGACCAGCCACACUGGAACUGAGACACGGUCGAGACUCCUACGGGAGGCAGAAGUAGGGAAUCUUGCGCAAUGGGCGAAAGCCUGACCCAGCAACGCCGCGUGAGUGAAGAAGGUCUUCGGAUCGUAAAGCCCUGUUAUUAGGAAAGAAAAAAUGCGGAAGAAAAUAAGGACGUCUUGACGGUAACUAAUCAGAAAGCAACGGCUAACUACGUG
rnacentral:rRNA from 1 species